GACGAACGCUAGCGGCGUGCCUAAGGUAUGCAAGUCGAACGGGGAGCUUGCUCCCAGUGGCGAACGGUCGAGUAACACGUAGACAACCUGCCCGAGAGUGGGGGAUAACAGUGGGAAACUGCUGCUAAUACCGCAUGUGGCCGCCCGCAGCAUUGGGGGCUGGCUAAAGGCGCAAGCCGCUCUGGGAUGGGUCUGCGUCCUAUCAGCUAGUUGGUGAGGUAACGGCCCACCAAGGCGACGACGGGUAGCGGGUCUGAGAGGAUGAUCCGCCGGACGGGGACUGAGACACGGCCCCGACUCCUUCGGGAGGCAGCAAUGAGGAAUAUUGCGCAAUGGGGGAAACCCUGACGCAGCGACGCCGCGUGGGUGAGGAAGUCCUUCGGGAUGUAAAGCCCUUUUCUCGGGGACGAUCACAGACGGUACCCGAGGAAUAAGCCCCGGCUAACUACGUGC
rnacentral:rRNA from 1 species